rnacentral:rRNA from 1 species
UGACGGUACCCUACUAGAAAGGAGCCGCUAACUUCGUGCCAGAAGCGUCGGUAAUACGGGGGCUCCAAGCGUUAUCCGGUGUUAUUGGGCGUAAAGAGUCGUGCAGGUGGUUGGGUAAGUUAUCUUUCAAAUAUCUUUGCUUAACAAAGAGGAGGGGGAUAAUACUGCUCGACUAGAAUUUUCUCAAGGGAGAUCGGAACUGAGGGAGGAGUAGUGAAAUGCGUUGAUACCCUCGGGAACACCAGUGGCGUAGGCGGAUCUCUGGGAGAAGAUUGACACUGAGACACGAAAGCUAGGGGAGCGAAGCAGAUUAGAGACCUGCGUAGUCCUAGCCGUAAACGCAUGCUUGCUAGCUGCAUGAAUCUACCUUCGGGUGGUAUCGUGUGGCGAAGGUAACCCGUUAAGCAAGCCGCCUGGAAAGUACGGCCGCAAGGCUGAAAUUCAAAGGAAUUGGCGGGGAGGCACACAACCAGUGGAACAUGUGGUUUAAUUCGAGACUAACCGAAGAACCUCACCAGGGUUUGACAUGUAGCUGCACGUCUUAAGAAAUUAAGACUCUCUUGAAGGUGCUACACAGGUGCUGCAUGGCUGUCGUCAGCUCGUUCCGUGAGGAGUGCCCUUAAGUGGGACAACGAGCGCAACCCCUAUUACAUGUUAGAAAUGUCAUGUAAGACUGCCUUGCCAUUUGGCGGGGAGGAAGGAGGGGCAGACGUCAAGUCCGCAUGGUCCUUAUGCCCUGGGCUACACACAUGUUACAAUGAGUACGGCAAUGAGUCUGUCGCGAGCACGUAAGUGUAAGCUAAUCUCUUAAAUGUACUCUCAGUGGGGAUUGAGGUCUGCAACUCGACCUCAUGAACACGGAAUUGGUAGUAAUCGCGGGUCAGCUAUACCGCGGUGAUACGUUCUUGCCUCUUGCACACACCGCCCGUCAAACCAGCAAAGUCGAUUGUAUCCGAACCU